GCGUCUAUAGUGUAGUGGUUUGCAUACUUCUUUCCCAUGCCGUUUUGAUGUUGGAUCCAAGAAGAGGUCGUGGGUUCGAACCCCGCUGGACGCA